UACAGGGGGUGCAAACGUUGCUCGGAAUCACUGGGCGUAAAGGGUGCGUAGGCGGGUCUUUAAGUCAGGGGUGAAAUCCUGGAGCUCAACUCCAGAACUGCCUUUGAUACUGGACGAUCUGAGUCCGGGAGAGGUGAGUGGAACUGCGAGUGUAGAGGUGAAAUUCGUAGAUAUUCGCAAAGAACACCAGUGGCGAAGGCGGCUCACUGGCC
rnacentral:rRNA from 1 species